rnacentral:rRNA from 1 species
UGGGGAAUUUUGGACAAUGGGCGAAAGCCUGAUCCAGCAAUGCCGCGUGUGUGAAGAAGGCCUUCGGGUUGUAAAGCACUUUUGUCCGGAAAGAAAUCCUUGGCUCUAAUACAGUCGGGGGAUGACGGUACCGGAAGAAUAAGCACCGGCUAACUACGUGCCAGCAGCCGCGGUAAUACGUAGGGUGCAAGCGUUAAUCGGAAUUACUGGGCGUAAAGCGUGCGCAGGCGGUUUGCUAAGACCGAUGUGAAAUCCCCGGGCUCAACCUGGGAACUGCAUUGGUGACUGGCAGGCUAGAGUAUGGCAGAGGGGGGUAGAAUUCCACGUGUAGCAGUGAAAUGCGUAGAGAUGUGGAGGAAUACCGAUGGCGAAGGCAGCCCCCUGGGAUAACACUGACGCUCAUGCACGAAAGCGUGGGGAGCAAAACAGGAUUAGAUACCCUGGUAGUCCACGCCCUAAACGAUGUCAACUAGUUGUUGGGGAUUCAUUUCCUUAGUAACGUAGCUAACGCGUGAAGUUGACCGCCUGGGGAGUACGGUCGCAAGAUUAAAAGCUUAAA